UACGUAGGGGGCGAGCGUUGUCCGGAUUUACUGGGCGUAAAGCGUGCGCAGGCGGUUCGUUGUGUCGGCGGUGAAAGCCCCGGGCUUAACCUGGGAAUGGCCGUUGAAACUGGCGAACUGGGAGUGUGGCAGGGAGGGGGGUGGAAUUCCACGUGUAGCAGUGAAAUGCGUAGAGAUGUGGAGGAACACCGGUGGCGAAGGCGGCAUCCUGGACCGGCAUUGACGCUGAGGCGCGAAAGCCAGGGGAGCAAACGGG
rnacentral:rRNA from 1 species